UACGAAGGGGGCUAGCGUUGUUCGGAAUUACUGGGCGUAAAGCGCACGUAGGCGGGUUGUUAAGUCAGGGGUGAAAUCCCCCGAGCUCAACUCGGGAACUGCGUCCGAUACUGGCGGGCUUGAAUCCGGGAGAGGGAUGCGGAAUUCCUGGUGUAGCGGUGAAAUGCGCAGAUAUCAGGAGGAACACCAAUGGCGAAGGCAGCUCGCUGGGACGGUACUGACGCUGAGACGCGAAAGCGUGGGGAGCAAACAGG
rnacentral:rRNA from 1 species